CACUUGUCCCAUCCACCAAAUCCCUCCGCCGCCACCAGUCCACUACAUCUUCCUCAGGAUCCCCUUCUCCUCGUCUUCCUCCACCCACCAACAGGAGCCCGAGAUCUUUCUCCACGACCCCGAGCACUUGAUCCACCGGACCAACCACCUUCUCCUCUUAAUCCAUGGCCACCUCCUACUCGAGCAACCAGCGCCCCGCUGUUUUCUCUCCCCUGUCCGAUCUGGAGGAGAGGAGCUCCUCCAGGCCCCACCUAGCGUGAUAGUCGCCGGUCACCCAAGCAGCAGCAGAUGAGCAUCACGGCCCUCCUCUUCCUCAUGUUUUCUCCUUGUCCUCGUGUAUCCUCCUCCAUCUCUCAACUCCCCUCCUUUGCUUCUUACCGCAAGAACCGGUUGCAGCUGUCGAACACCAUGGAUUCGCGCCAAGAGCUCUUAUGGUCACCGUGACCUCGCCGUCAGGAUCCGCUUCCUCCUGCGACCCUCCAGCCACCCGCCACAACCUUCGUCAUGCCCGCGAGCUUCGCCUGCACCUCGCCUCCCCGACAUGAACUGUCCCGAUCCGACCAUCUCCGGUGGCCUCCUCAUCGUCGCGGCCUAGGCAAACUACAGACCCACCGAACCGAACAACACCGCUGCCUCCCCUGCCGACUUGAAUCCGCCGGAUCCGGUGACUCUUGCCGCCGCCACCAAGAACCUUGCCGGGGAACGACGUUCCGCCCCUGGACCCGCUCGUUUCAGCCGCCGCUGCCGCUCUGAACCUCGCGCCCCGCUGCUGACUGCUUCGUUUCAAUCGAGGACGAGCGGUCCCUCUUCGUCGUGUUGACCGCACAAGACCAGUGCCUGGGCCGUGUCUCGCGUGAGGUCCACCAACCGGCCCGGCUGCCAGGCCCAGCGGCGCUCGGCCUGCCAAGCCUCUUCCCUGACUGGGCCUCAACCCGAUGUUAGCAGCCCUGCUCCAUGUGCACUGUUGGGCUGACCAGAUUUGGCCCGUUUCAUUUUUUUUCCACAAAACGAAUUUCCUAUUUAUUCCAGAGUUGGCAGUUUUACAGAAUAACCCCUAAGCCUCAUGCAUAUUGUAACUCUCAAACCGUGCAUCACUUGUAAAUAACUUAUAUAUGAAAAUGGUUAUAAUUUUGUGUAUAUUCAUAAUAUCCAACUUUCAUCCAUA